rnacentral:rRNA from 1 species
AUACGGAGGAUCCGAGCGUUAUCCGGAUUUAUUGGGUUUAAAGGGUGCGCAGGCGGCCAUUUAAGUCAGCGGUUAAAUCGUGGGGCUCAACCCCAUUCUGCCGUUGAUACUGGGUGGCUUGAUUGCGUUCGAGGUUGGCGGAAUUCGUUGUGUAGCGGUGAAAUGCAUAGAUAUGACGAAGAACACCGAUUGCGUAGGCAGCUGACCAGACCGCAAAUGACGCUCAUGCACGAAAGUGCGGGGAUCGAACAGGAUUAGAUACCCUGGUAGUCCGCACAGUAAACGAUGAAUACUUGUUUUCGGCGAUAUAAUGUCGGAGGCAAAGCGAAAGCGAUAAGUAUUCCACCUGGGGAGUACGCCGGCAACGGUGAAACUCAAAUGAAUUGACGGGG